rnacentral:lncRNA from 1 species
GAGACAAUUUUACAGGUAAUUUUCAAGAUAGAGGUAAUAGUGAGCUUAAAGACCUUCAGUUGUUAAUUUAUAUAUGCCUCUUCUAAGGUUGAGAAACUGAUAUCACACAGGAUUGCUUAUUAAUUUGUGAGUGAUUUGAUAGCUACUUCAGAGUGGAUAAUCCCACUCCAACAGUCCUGAGACAGCACCCCUACUGUUUAUACUCAAGUGAUCUUUCUUGCUCCAGCAACUGAGUAAAAAUGUACUAACAGCAAAUUACAAUUCUGGCUUUUCUUUCUUCUCUUUGCAGACAGAGCUUUUUGAUGAAGGUCUAGUCCAAUGGGAGAUAGAAGAAAGAUCUGCUGCCUUCUACCCUCUUCUAUGCUGCUUACUCAAACAGAGGGAAAGUCACAACCAGUCUGCAUUGCCUGAUAUUAGAGCGUGCUCUUACAUGAGAAAUACAAUUUCUCACAGCAAGGCAAAAUCAAAAGAUGAGACAGAAGAGCUCCCCAUGGCUGAAUCAGCUGUGGAUGGAUGUUGGAGAGGAAUGGGCACUACAGCUCUCUCAGGGCAAGCUUGGGUACACACUCUGGGACCGCUUGACUCAGAAAGAGGACUCUAGUAUCCUGCUAGCACAAGACUGCCAGACUUUCUAGAGUGAAGGAGAUACAAAGACUGGCAUCUCAAGACCAGUGAGCAUGGAGAACUGAAGGCUCAGAGGCCCCUCCACAGCAUGGACACUUCUGUUGGAUUCAGCACUGCAGUCUCUCCAGACACCCAAUUGUUAGACCUCCCUACUUGGACCUCAGAAUAUCAUAAUUCUUGUGUUUUAAUAUCACUAAGGACAGAUCCAUCACUUAAGAGUGAUUUCAAAGUGUGAUGCACAAACCAAGUUCAUUUUGGUUUCUUAGGAAUUGUAAACACCAAGAAAAUAUGUGGUUAUGUUUUCUGACCAACAAACUAUUUCUCUGGAAAGAGAAAUGAGAUUCCAUGUCACAAAUAGAAAUAAAAUUGGAGAAUUCUGGAGCCA